AGCUUUGCGCAGUGUCAGCAGUAUCGUAGCCAAUGAGGGUUAUCCGAGGCGUGAUUAUUGCUAAUUGAAAACUUUUCCCAAUACCCCACCAUGAUGACUUGCAAUAUAGUUGGCAUUGGCAAUUUUUGAUGGUCCCUACAGGGA